rnacentral:rRNA from 1 species
UACGCAGGGUGCAAGCGUUGUCCGGAAUUAUUGGGCGUAAAGAGCUCGUAGGCGGUUUGUCGCGUCGAAUGUGAAAACCCGGGGCUCAACCCCGGGCCUGCAUUCGAUACGGGCAGACUAGGGUUCGGUAGGGGAGUCUGGAAUUCCUGGUGUAGCGGUGAAAUGCGCAGAUAUCAGGAGGAACACCGGUGGCGAAGGCGGGACUCUGGGCCGAUACUGACGCUGAGGAGCGAAAGCGUGGGGAGCGAACAGG